rnacentral:rRNA from 1 species
CCAUUCAAGGGAGGCAGCAGGCGCGCAAUUACCCAAUCCUGACUCAGGGAGGUAGUGACAAGAAAUAACAAUAAACCGGCUUAUGCCGGUUUAAUUGGAAUGAGUACAAUUUAAACAUCUUAACGAGGAACAAUUGGAGGGCAAGUCUGGUGCCAGCAGCCGCGGUAAUUCCAGCUCCAAUAGCGUAUACUAAAGUUGUUGCAGUUAAAAAGCUCGUAGUUGGAUUUCUGUGGGGACGGAGCGGCCGGCCGCACAUCGCGGUUCGAGCUAGCGCUUUCCCUACAUCCUGCCGCGAACCGUGCUACCAUUAAUUUGGUGGCGCCGGGGAUCGGCUCGAUUACUUUGAGAAAAAUAGAGUGUUCAAAGCAGGCCACAUGCCUUGAAUAAGUUAGCAUGGAAUAAUAACUAAGGACUUCGGUUCUAUUUUGUUGGUGUUCGGGACUGAAGUAAUGAUUGAUAGGGACAGUUGGGGCGGUCUGUAUUCCAAAGCGAGAGGUGAAAUUCUUAGACCUUCGGAAGACAAACAGCUGCGAAAGCGUUCCGCAAGGAUGUUCCCUUUGAUCAAGAACGAAAGUUGGGGGAUCGAAGACGAUCAGAUACCGUCGUAGUCUCAACUAUAAACUAUACCAGCUAGGGAUCGGCCAACGUUAUUUUAUACCGACUUGGUCGGCACCUUAUGAGAAAUCAAAGCAUCUGGGUUCCGGGGGGAGUAUGGUCGCAAGGCUGAAACUUAAAGGAAUUGACGGAAGGGCACCACCAGCCGUGGAGCCUGUGGCUUAAUUUGACUCAACACGGGAAAACUUACCAGGUCCAGACAUAGUAAGGAUUGACAGAUUGAUAGCUCUUUCUUGAUUCUGUGGGUGGUGGUGCAUGGCCGUUCUUAGUUGGUGGGGUGAUUUGUCUGGUUAAUUCCGUUAACGAACGAGACCCCAGCCUGCUAAAUAGCGCGCGUGAGCUUUGCUCGCGGCGAGCUUCUUAGAGGGACUAUGAUGCGCGAUAGCACAUGGAAGUUUGGGGCAAUAACAGGUCUGUGAUGCCCUUAGAUGUUCUGGGCCGCACACGGGCUACACUGGCGCCUGCAACGAGCAUAUCAGCUGGCCCGAGAGGGUCUUGGCUAAUCUUUUGAACCGGCGCCGUGCUUGGGAUUGACCUUUGCAAUUGUUGGUCAUGCAACGAGGAAUGCCUUGUAAACGCGAGUCAUCAGCUCGCAUUGAAUACGUCCCUGCCCUUUGUACACACCGCCCGUCGCUCCUACUGAUGAAUGUUCCGAUGAAAUAAUCGGAGAGCACCUGUGAAGAUGGCUGUUCCCGCGAAGAAAAAGGAAACAAAAACAAAAAAAUAUUACUUAUAAUAAAUU